UUUAAAUUUAUAAUUAUUAAUCCAAAACGGAUAGCGUGACUUUGGGAGUCCUUUAUGACAACAAGUAGCACAUAGGCUGCAAAGGCUGGUGGUGGUUCUUGAAUCUACUUGCAACACACUAAGUUAUGUCAUCAAAAAUUAUAUGGGCAUGCAUCGACGCCUUGAAGACGCUUCAAGAGUGGUUAGAAGUUGUCGCCAGCUAACCGUUGGAAAAGCUCCGUCCAUCAAUCCUCCGAAUUCCAGUACGAUCCGCUAAAUUAGGUGUUAUUUCGUUGAAGGACCGUUCAAAAAUUGUGAUUCUCAACUCAAGGUUUCAACUUGGGCGUCUGUUUCUUAAGGGUGGAUGCAUAACAAGGUUGGAGUUAGUAACAAUUUAGAAGUUAUUGUAUUUGUAGCUAUUUAGAAGUUAUGUAUUUGUAACAAUUUCAUUUAAUAGAUUUGUACAAUAUAUUAAUUUUACGAGUGUA